rnacentral:rRNA from 1 species
GACGAACGCUGGCGGCGUGCUUAACACAUGCAAGUCGAACGGAAAGGCCCUGCUUUUGUGGGGUGCUCGAGUGGCGAACGGGUGAGUAACACGUGAGUAACCUGCCCUUGACUUUGGGAUAACUUCAGGAAACUGGGGCUAAUACCGGAUAGGAGCUCCUGCUGCAUGGUGGGGGUUGGAAAGUUUCGGCGGUUGGGGAUGGACUCGCGGCUUAUCAGCUUGUUGGUGGGGUAGUGGCUUACCAAGGCUUUGACGGGUAGCCGGCCUGAGAGGGUGACCGGCCCCAUUGGGACUGGGAUUCGGCCCAGACUCCUCCGGGAGGCAGCAGUGGGGAAUAUUGCACAAUGGGCGGAAGCCUGAUGCAGCAACGCCGCGUGCGGGAUGACGGCCUUCGGGUUGUAAACCGCUUUCGCCUGUGACGAAGCGUGAGUGACGGUAAUGGGUAAAGAAGCACCGGCUAACUACGUG